ACAUGCUUCCUUACUAUUCCAUA
rnacentral:miRNA from 8 species